CUUUUUAAAAUCAAACAUCACCGUUAGGUUGCGCCAGGUUGCGCUACCACAUGUUUACUUUCGAUGAGCUGUCAAAACAUAGCAGAAGCAAAAAUGAAACAUUUAUUGUUAGAUAAUUCGUUCACUUUCGCGACUGCGACUUCGUUCUAGUACAAUAAGUAUAAUAUUAUCACUAAACGCAACUACGCAAGUUAACAGGAAUUAAUUCAGAAUGGACGAGAAUACGAUAUCAGCUGUGGCGUUCCACCCGAUUAUUUCAUCGAUACAAAAAAUUGCACUUUACGAGACGAAAUCAAGGUUUUAUUUAAUGGCUUCGAAUAAUACCCUUACACGGUUCCGUGUAUUGAAGAUAGAUCGAACGGAGCCAAAGGAAUUAAUCGUUAUUGACGAUAAAAGGGAGUACACCCACGAUGAAAUCCAGGAUCUCGUAGAUAUGAUUGACAUGGGUAAUCGUACGCGUGCUGGACAACGAAACAAUGUUGGCGGAGUCACCAGGAUUGUUUCAGCCUUUGGUAUUGUUGGCAACGUUCACAAAGAAUCUACACCUGAAGCUGGUGUAUCAGAGGAAUCUGAACACCAAGACUAUCAGAAACCAUUGCAUAAGCCAACUCAAACUAAAUUCAGCUGGAAAACGAUGUGGCAGACAGACACUUUUCCCCGACUAAUAUCAGCUUUCGGUCUUAUUGGUUUCAUACGUUUCUUGGAAGGAUAUUAUAUAAUCCUUGUCACUAAACGACGUAAGGUGGCUGUAAUAGGGCAUCAUACGAUAUACAAAAUAGAGGAUACGUCGAUGAUUUAUAUUCCAAGCGACACUGUUCGAGUCUUUCAUCCCGACGAACAGAGAUACGUUAAAAUGUUUCAAAGUAUUGACCUUAAGAGUAACUUCUACUUCAGCUACUCUUACGAUUUGACGCACACUUUGCAAAGUAACAUGAGCCCACCGAAACACAUCAAGUCUGAUAUUUAUAAUAACAGAGACACCGAGGAUGCAGAAAACUUUUUUAAUAUGUGGGCACCUAAAAAGAAUCAGGGUAAAAGUGAUGUGGAGAAAUACCUCGAUUACGGAAUACGAAGCAAUCCGCAUCGUCGGUUUGUAUGGAAUUCGCAUUUGUUAAAACCAGUAGAGAAAGACUUGCAUCCCGAUUGGAUUUUAUAUAUUACUCAUGGUUUUAUCGGGCAGUCGAAUGUCAGCAUUUUUGGAAGGUCUAUGUACGUAACUCUUAUAGCCAGAAGGAGUAAUAAAUACGCUGGCACCAGAUUUUUGAAACGCGGAGCCAACUUCGAUGGAGACGUGGCCAACGAAGUAGAAACAGAGCAGAUCGUACACGAUUCUGGGGUGAGCUCUUUGAGUAAAGGACGCUUCAGUUCGUUUGUUCAAAUGCGAGGCUCCGUCCCAGCACACUGGAGUCAAGACGUUAGUAAAAUGGUCCCUAAGCCUACUAUCACUUGUGACUUGGCUGAUCCUUACGUGGAAACAGCAGGUGCACAUUUUAAUCAACUCCUAAGAAGGUAUGGUUCUCCAAUUAUAAUUCUGAAUCUCGUUAAGAAACGUGAGAAGAAGAAACACGAAAGUACUCUGAGCGAGGAAUUGGGCAUGGCUGUUAAAUAUUUAAACCAAUUUCUGCCGCCGGAACAUCAUAUUCAGUACAUAAGUUUCGACAUGGCUCGAAUGAACAAGAGGAAAAAAGUGAACGUUAUGGCACGAUUGGGGAACAUAGCGCAUAACGCAGUUUUGAAGACGGGAAUCUUUCAGUCUCAAGAUUCAUAUUACAGCCAAAGAAAUUUAUUUUGCCUGCAACCGAAUUAUGUCAAAAAAUUGUACAAGGCGAAUUCAUCUACGAAAUCCAGUAAUUCUGAAUUUAUUGGAGACAAUAAAGACGAUGAAUCGAGUGAUAUCGAAAGAGCAGUAAGACAGUGCUUCGGUCAGAAGGGUACACUGCAAACAGGCAUCAUUAGAACAAAUUGCGUGGAUUGCUUAGAUCGUACAAACACGGCACAAUUCGCAAUUGGAAAAUCUGCGUUGGCUUUUCAAUUGUGCGCCCUGGGAGUGUUAGGAACCCCGAAAUUGGAGUUUGACUCUGAUUGCGUACGAAUGUUAGAGGAACUGUACGAGGAUCACGGUGAUAUAUUAGCAUUGCAGUACGGUGGUUCUCAAUUAGUGCACAGGAUAAAGACUUACAGAAAAACUGCACCAUGGACCAGCCAGGGUAACGAUAUUAUGCAAACUCUCAGCAGGUAUUAUAGCAAUACGUUUAGCGAUCAAGAAAAGCAGCAUACAAUUAAUUUAUUCUUAGGUUUAUUUAUACCUGAAGAAGGGAAGUCUCCGAUUUGGGAGCUCUUAACAGAUUAUUAUCUUCACCACAAACCUGCAUGUCAGUAUUUUCGCAGGACGAAGCUCUUAACGCAAUGGUGGGACACUGCUGUGUUAAAGUGUCUACCAUACGCCCUGGACGAAGUAACGAAAGCUUGUUCAGAAAUAAUACAAGUGCAAAAUUCGAUGGAAGAGAUGAUCGACGUUUAUUACGAUUAUCACAGGCCGUACGAAUUAUCGUUGCUCUCCGAAGUUUACGCGUAUAAAAUUAGCCACUCUGUUAGAGACUUUAUGCCCCAUUUCACAACCAGUUUUAGUCCGUUCGCAGUGCGGGUACGACCUGGUAGAGGAAGGGAAGAAGCCGGCAGUAAAAAUCUAAACAUGAAGAAUCCUUCGAUGACUGGGCAAAGUAGCACCAGUAGCACGACAUCAAGCGCGAGUUCUAGUGACGAUUCGAGUUCGGAUGAGGAUGAAAGUCAUCACCAUACUAAUGAUUUUCAGCUAAUGAUAUCGAAAGAAAGUUCGGAAUUCACGUCUUUCGAAGCACUAUUUCCGUCUAUGAAAAAAGUAUAUGGCACUCAACCCGAAUAUCCGAAAAGGAAUGACGUAAUUCUAUAUAAGAAAUUUGCAUUAAUUGGUCGCAAUGCAACUCAUCCUACGGAUUACAUGAAGUUACGUUCGAAAUUAAUUCAACAAGCAUCAUUCCCUGAAGCAACAACUGCAAUAGUUGAGCUACCAACAGUAAAACAAUCUAGUAUAAAAAUAUACGAGCAAUAUGUUAAAAGAGCUAAGUCUGGUGGUUCAAUACCAAAUGCUAAUGAUAUGAAUUUGUAUGAAAGUUACGUGAAGCAAAAACAACUGUUGAACAGACCCAUAUUUUCGAAUUAAGAACUUUGGUCGGAGUGUAAGGAGACACGGCGGCACGUGAAUAUUCGUCGGAUGAACGCAGCCGCUCAUCAUCGUCUCUAUCCCGGACACGUAGGCAGGAUUUUUCAUCUGCAUCCUGCGGGACCGGACUGGUACGU